CCGUGAUGUGCCUGCGCAAUCAAGAUUGGCAAAGCAACAGUGCGGUUGGUGUGAGAAAAGCAAGGAAGUUGCCUCAGUUUUGGGAGCGGUGGCUGUGCUUAGCAAUCUUUCGCAACAAAAGCAACUCGCCUCAUUAGGUUCGAAGCGCUUUUAUAAAGGACUUAAGCUUUAUAUCAAAGUCCCGUCCCCUCCCCGCGCAGAGCCACAAUUCCUAGCCCGCUUAAACUACAGAUCCCAGGAUUCUUUAGGGAAAGCUUUAAAUGUAUGUUGGGUAUCCAGCCUGUGGCACCUUAAAGGUAAAGGGACCCCUGACCAUUAGGUCCAGUCGUGGCCAAUUCUGGGGUUGCGGCGCUCAUCUCGCUUUAUUGGCCAAGGGAGCCGGCGUACAGCUUCCGGGUCAUGUGGCCAGCAUGACUAAGCCACUUCUGGCGAACCAGAGCAGUGCAUGGAAAUGCCGUUUACCAUCCUGCCGGAGCGGUACCUAUUUAUCUACUUGCACUUUGACGUGCUUUCAAACUGCUAGGUUGGCAGGAGCAGGGACCGAGCAACGGGAGCUCACCCCUUCGUGGGGAUUUGAACCGUGACCUUCUGAUCGACAAGUCCUAGGCUCUAUGGUUUAACCCACAGCGCCACCCACGUCCCUUAAAGACACCUUAAAGACGAAUAAAUGCUGCAAUCGUUAAGCCUCAUUGAAUUUGAUAGGACUUAUGAGCAGGCAUGAGAAGGGUUGCACUGCUAGUCUGUAAAAUAAGAUAUUCAGAAGUGGCUUGAGUUGGCCAUAAACAACCUGACAUGAAUGCUGGGUUGACGGUUAUGCAUUGCUUUUACAUUGCUACAAAUUCCCUUGAGCAUACUUGCAAAAAAAUAAAAAUAAAGCUCCAGCCCUAUACAGAGUUACUUUUAACUUUUAACACUGAAUUUAGGGAGCUUACCUCUUGAGUAAACAUGCACGACAUCACACUUCCAUCUAUUAAAUAAAGCUGCAGUCCUAAAUAUAUUUACUAAGGACAGGACCAUAAUAGUUAUCACUGGACACCAAUACUUAUUUCAGAAAAACCAUGCAUAUAAUUGCACUGUUGCUGGACCCACCUCAACUUUUUGAGGGGCCCCAUUUGCUGCUCCCCUUCUCACUACAUUUGUUCCUCUGGCCCUGCACUAAAACCACAUGCAGAGUGCUAUCCUGUUUAUGUUCACUCAGAAGUAAGCCCAACUAUGUUCAGACACACUUACCUAUUAGUAAGUCCCAUUGAACUCAGUGGGGCUUACUUCUGAGUAAGCAUGUAUUGCAUUGUGAAAACAUUGGCAGUAUUGAUAGACAAUUUCCUUUCUGUUUCCAUAGCAUUCGCCUAUCCAUUCUUAAGGAAAUCAGCCUUGAGCGCUCACUGGAAGGACAGAUCGUGAAGCUGAGGCUCCAAUACUUUGGCCACCUCAUGAGAAGAGAAGACUCCCUGGAAAAGACCCUGAUGCUGGGAAAGAUGGAGGGCACAAGGAGAAGGGGACGACAGAGGACGAGAUGGUUGGACAUUCUCAAAGCUACCAGCAUGAAUUUGACCAAACUGCAGGAGGCAGUGGAAGACAGGAGGGCCUGGCGUGCUCUGGCAAUAAACCAUGGGGUCACGAAGAGUCGGACAUGACUAAACGACUAAACAACAACAACAAUAUGGCCACUCUGGGCAAACUAAUGACUGCCUCCCUUCUUGCCUGUAUUUUGGCAAAGAAGGAUGGCUUGAUCAUCUCCACUUGACUGGCUGCUGCAGAAGCUGGCAAAUAACUUCAUUGGAAGCCAUGUUCCAUGCAAAUGUAAGGU